AUGGGCGAAAGCCUGAUGCAGCAACGCCGCGUGAACGAUGAAGGUCUUCGGAUCGCAAAGUUCUGUUGCAGGGGAAGAUAAUGACGGUACCCUGUGAGGAAGCCCCGGCUAACUACGUGCCAGCAGCCGCGGUAAUACGUAGGGGGCUAGCGUUAUCCGGAUUUACUGGGCGUAAAGGGUGCGUAGGUGGUCCUUCAAGUCGGUGGUUAAAGGCUACGGCUCAACCGUAGUAAGCCGCCGAAGCUGGAGGACUUGAGUGCAGGAGAGGAAAGUGGAAUUCCCAGUGUAGCGGUGAAAUGCGUAGAUAUUGGGAGGAACACCAGUAGCGAAGGCGGCUUUCUGGACUGCAACUGACACUGAGGCACGAAAGCGUGGGUAGCAAACAGGAUUAGAUACCCUGGUAGUCCACGCUGUAAACGAUGAGUACUAGGUGUCGGGGGUUACCCCCUCGGUGCCGCAGCUAACGCAUUAAGUACUCCGCCUGGGGAGUACGCACGCAAGUGUGAAACUCAAAGGAAUUGACGGGGACCGCACAAGUAGCGGAGCAUGUGGUUUAAUUCGAGCACGCGAAGAACCUACCUAGCUGA
rnacentral:rRNA from 1 species